UUUUUUCCCAGACCCAGGUGUCUUGCUCCCCCCGUCACAGUGACUUUUGGGGUGAGAAAUGUGGGUAAUGGGGAACUUUCAUCUUUGAAUGUUUUGUUUUAGUUGCUCUAAAAUAUCCUGGAUACUCAGGUGGAGACAUGAGUUCCAUCAGACAUCCUCCCCCCUCCCACCCGGGGCACUCGUGCAAAAGGGACGCCUCAUACUCCCAGCAACACCCUCACACAUAGGCACUCAGAGUGGCAAAUCCGAGGACAGACGUGUGGAGGGAGUCUGGAGCCCAUCUAGUUUACCAUUUUUCUUUAGAAACUAGGAAGCUAAGGCCCAGAGAGGGUAAAUGACCUACUAAGGUCACAUGGCAAAUCAGCAGCAGAGAGAUGAGAUCCCAUCCCUCAUAAUGCCAGACAACAGCGGUCAACUCAACAGAUUGACACACCAGUCACGUAACCCCCUGGAACACACAAAGGCACACACACUUCAUCUUCCUAUCCGCCUCCCUUAGCGUCGUUUCCCCUCUUCCCAGAAAACCAGUGGGCCCAGCACAGAGGGAUGGAGGCAGAGAGAGCACUGGGCAGAGUCAGGAGAGAAGCCAGAAGCAAGGUGAGGAAAUUGGAGAGAUGGAGAGAGACACACGGUCUACACGGUAAAUAAAGUGAGACAUCCAGGGACUAAGACUUGCACUGGGAGCAAGAAGCCCAGGGAGGGAAGAAUAAAUGGAUGAAAAGAUCAGCAGAUACAGGAGGUGUGAGCAGGGGGAAGAAGGCGGGAACACAGAGAGAUGCUUUGGGGCAUCUGAGUCUUGAGGGUAGGAGUGCCCCUGUGUCUUUCCCAGCCGGUGGCCCGUACUCUUUCCAUGUAAUCAUAGCUGACGCUGUGGUGUGCUAGGCACAUUAGAAACAUUGUUUCCUUUAAUGUUGUGACAACCCUUUGAACUAGGUACUAGACUAGGUAGUAGACUACUCAGUUUUAGGGGUGAAGAAACUAAGACUUAGAUAGGUCAUGUGACUUGUCCGAGUGUGCACAGCUCGGAACUGGUGGAUCCCAGUGCAGUGGAUUCAGGACAGUCUGCCUCCACGUUGCACUGUCGCUGCACACGCUGCGUCUUCCCUGGUGUCCCUCGUCUCCCCUCGCCCCUUCUCCACCAAAGGAAUGGAAAACUCCGUGGGCUGCUGCCAGUCUAGAUGAGUAAUGGCUCAGGUGUUCAUCUGCUUAACCUGCCCUGGGGUGUCCUAAGGGUCAGCUGCAGUUCCCAGGCCAUGACGUUCUCUACUCCCACCCAGCUCCCAAAUCCUGCUUCCCCCAGGGACCCAUAUAUCCUCACCCCCAGUGGUAUUUCUAGGAGCAAGAGGAGGACCUUGGGAUAGGGCACCUGGGUGUCCCCUCUCCCAGGAGGGUCUGGGCUGGGGCCUGCCUUGGGCCUGAGGGACAGGUCCCAGUCUGGGAAGAGCCCGGGGGCCAGGUAGGGGAGUCCUUAGGCUCUUACUCACUUUUCCCCUGGCCCAGUGCUUCCUGGGAUCAGGCUGGGACAGGUUAAUCCUCUGGGGACAGCUUGGUGACCUCUCCCUGGGGAUGGAGAUCCUGGUGUUGAUGGAGGCCCCGGCACACCUGGCUCUCCCAAGACUUGUAAUAGGUCUGGGAGCCUUUAAAGAGCCAGGGAGAAGGGCCUGGAAAGACACACAGCUGGCACCAUGGACGCUGCACUGGUGCUGCUCCUGAGCCUGCAGGCCUUGGCGGGACUUGCUCAGCUGACCCCAUCGGGGAUCUCUAAUCCGGUAUCUGCUGGUCUCCCCACCGUCUCAGGGAGUCUCCCCACCGCCUCAGGGAGUCUCCCCACCAUCUCAGGGAGUCUCCCCACCGCCUCUGCGGGUCUCCCCACCGUCUCAGGGAGUCUCCCCACCGCCUCUGCGGGUCUCCCCACCGUCUCAGGGAGUCUCCCCACCGCCUCUGCGGGUCUCCCCACCGUCUCAGGGAGUCUCCCCACCGCCUCUGCUGGUCUCCCCACCGUCUCAGGGAGUCUCCCCACCGCCUCUGCGGGUCUCCCCACCGUCUCAGGGAGUCUCCCCACCGCCUCUGCGGGUCUCCCCACCGCCUCAGGGAGUCUCCCCACCAUCUCAGGGAGUCUCCCCACCGCCUCUGCUGGUCUCCCCACCGUCUCAGGGAGUCUCCCCACCGCCUCUGCGGGUCUCCCCACCGUCUCAGGGAGUCUCCCCACUGCCUCUGCGGGUCUCCCCACCGUCUCAGGGAGUCUCCCCACCGCCUCUGCGGGUCUCCCCACCGCCUCAGGGAGUCUCCCCACCAUCUCAGGGAGUCUCCCCACCGCCUCUGCUGGUCUCCCCACCGUCUCAGGGAGUCUCCCCACCGCCUCUGCGGGUCUCCCCACCGUCUCAGGGAGUCUCCCCACUGCCUCUGCGGGUCUCCCCACCGUCUCAGGGAGUCUCCCCACCGCCUCUGCGGGUCUCCCCACCGUCUCAGGGAGUCUCCCCACCGCCUCAGGGAGUCUCCCCACCAUCUCAGGGAGUCUCCCCACCACCUCUGCGGGUCUCCCCACUGUCUCUGCGAGUUUCUCAACAGUUUCUUCAGCCUCUGGGGGUUUUUCGGGUAGUCCUCAGACUUUGGCUCCGACCAUUUCUGGGAGCACUUCAGGAACAGUCUCAACAUUGCCAGGUAACAUUUCUGUUGCUCAACCCAUCUCUGAAGAACUCUUUAGCUGUAGCUCUGGGGCGGGGGUCCUUCCUGUGCUCCACCGCGGGUACUCAGCAGUGCCCCAGAACCUCCUGGACCAGGGCCCUGGCCUUGGUGGCUGUACAAGGACCCCCUUCUUUGCUUUCAAUUUAUCAACCUUUUCUCUUGUGGUUGGUGUCUUCUGUAUCCUGCCUCAGGCUUUUUUUUUUUUUGCCUACCUCAAGGUCAUGAAAAUAUUCUCCUACAUUUCCUUCCAGAAGCUGUCUUAUUUUAGCUUUCAAGUUUAAGCCUGUGCUCUAUCUCAGAUUAAUCUCUGUGUAUGGAGUGAGGUAGAGGUCACGGUUAAUUUUUUUUCCCUUAUGGAUUACCAACUGCCCCAGAACCAUUUAUGUCAAAGACCCUCCCUCUCUCCCCACCGGUGAGUCGUGUGAGUACCUUUAUCGAAGGUCAAGUGCCCACAUACGUGUGGGUCUAUUUCUGGAUUCUGUUCUGUUCCUCUGUUUGUCUGUUCUUAUUCCAGUGCCACAGUGUUCAAUGACCGCAGCUUUGUAGCACGUCUCAAGAUAUGGUAGUAUGUCUUUCGCUUUUGUUUUUCUUUUGAGAAUGUCUUGGCUAUUCUCAGUCCUUUCACUUCCAUAGAAUCAGUUCAUCAAUUUCGACCAAAAACUUGCUAGGAUUUUGACUGAGGGUACAUUAGAUGCAAUUUCUGCUUCUGCUCUUGCUUGGCUCUCUUCCAGUCAUUUUCCCCCGCUGCCUUUCUAGGAUCUGUCUCCCCCACGGCAGCCCCUGGAGCUGCUCCAGCUGUGCCUGGGACUUCCACAUCGAGUGGGGCUGUCUCAGGAGGUUCCACUCCCACAACGGCUGGAGCGGCCACCAUGUCCCCUGGGCUCAGUGUCCCGAGCAGUAAGGCGCUCUUAUUCGCAUUGGGUCUUCUACCAGGAAAAUGUUGGUUGGGCCCAUUCUUUCUUAUUCCCCUGCAGCCGCCCUGGCUCCUGGAGUGGAGAACAGGGACAGGCCUUCGUGCCUGCUUCUAACUGUGUUUUGAGUAUGUCUGAGGAUGUCUCCAAUUCUUAAAGGCAUUUCAGUGCCCCCUCAAGCCUCUGAUCAGACCAAUACCCAGAUGUCUGUUACCUGAUUGCUUCCUUGAAAGGUUUUCAACUUCCUUCCUCAUGGCUGAAUCUAUCUUUCCAGGGCAAGAAGCAUCCCUGCCAGAGCUGCCAUCCUCCUCCCUCCUUCUGUCUCCCUACUCCCCUCCCCUUCAAUCCUAGCCUCCCCAUAGGCUGUCUGAGGGCAAGAAAUCAGUGGAGGAAGGACAGGACAAUGCCUCUGGCUCCUGUUAGUGACCAGAGUCAGCGUCUGUCAGGAGUGGUGGGGAAGACUGGGGUUCAGAAGGAGAGAGGCCCCCAUGGGGACCCUCACAGUGAAGAGACAUCACCGAUUGAGCGACGUGGACAGUGGAGCCUUAGAUAUGGAGGAGGGUUCAGAAAGAUGGAGAGAUGUGGAUGUCAGUGAGGAGUCAGAGACCGACAGACACGUCCGCAGGUGUUGAGGAAGAGAUGACUGGGGUUUAGAUCGAAGCCCUAAGGGGGCCUUCAACCUCCUCCAUUGAGAUUCUUAUCCCAAGAUGAUAGGAAAGAAUUCCACAGAGAAACGGGGUCUUAGAGUCACGUGGACAUCAGAGUCACAGAAGGAAAGAUGGAAAGUCACGGAGGGCAGUGAGGAGUUGGGGGUGGAGGUCCUACCUGCCUCAGUCACUGUCCCUCUCUGCUCCUCAGGCCCGAAGCCUCAGGAGAAGGGCUCUGUCCCGGAUUGGGCCAUCAUGCUGAUCACCCUCACUGUGGUGGCAGCGAUUGUUGGUCUGCUGUACGGUAUCAAGAAGAUGAGGUAAUUGAGUCCUGGAUAAAUGAGAAUUAUGGCGUCCAUCUCAGAGGGCUGUUGGAGGAUGAAAUGAGCUCAUGCACAUAAAGUACUUAGGUGCUUGGCACGUAGUGGGUGCUCAGCCUGCCAGUUCCGGAAGGAGAUGAGUGUGGGAUGUGGCUGUGGCUCUGUGACCCCUUAUAGCUGCCACCGCGAGGUCCCCGGUCAGCGCUACUCCAUCAAGUGAAGGGGCGGGGCAAGGAUCGCCCCGAAUGCCCCUCUGCCUUUGGCCUGCCCUCUUCCCCUCCUAAACAGACUCCUGAUUCAAGGCUCAGCCUUCCCGUUCACACUAGCUGGGGCUAUUUCCUGCAGGUGGGUUCCUGGGGCCACUGGCUCCCCAGCUCUUCUCCAUCAACAGUGUAAAAGGAAGUCCACUGUCAGUCACCAAGCAGAAGGCUGAGAUUCCAGUCCCGGUUCUGCCGCCAGCCUGCCGUCUGGCACCUGAUUUCUCUGCUGCAGUUUCUCAUCAGUAAGAGGAAGGACCAGGGCUAGAUGAUGUCUAGGGGUCUUCACGGAGUCUGGGCCUGGGCAGUUGGUAUCUUCGCCCUCACCCUUUCUUCCCAUCCUCUUCCCUAUCAGAGAAGCUCCUUAGCUGAGGACACUUUGCUCGGACCUCCCAGGACUUUCCCCCUACACGUCUCCUUCCAUACGGAGCCCCCUUGGACUGACUCCUGAUCCUCCCUAGACCCCGGAUUCUCUUACCUGCUCUGUGAUGCCCUCUGGCUGGUGGUGGACACAAUUCUUGCUAAAUAAAACAGCACUCCCUCCACUGA